AAUCUGAAUGCUCAAGAUCUUCACUCUGGCUAUUUAAACCGGCUUUAUACUAGCCGUGACUGUGAAGCUGGCUUGGUCAAAAUGAUGAGGGAUAAAUUUGAGGCUGAAGUGAAAAUCAAGGAGGACCAGAUUGCCGAUUUGCAGGAGGCCCUAAAGACCCAGUAGGCUGAAAUAGAUAAGGCAAAGCAAGAAUUGACCAGCGCUUUGAGCACUGCUGAACGGCUGAAAGAAGGCUUCAAGAAAGAGCGGGCUGACUGGGCCACUGAGAAGGCCGGUUUAACCAAAAGAGCAGAAAACGCUGAAGCAGCCCUUAAACCGGUGGUGGAUGAACUGGCGGCCGUACAACGGCAAAUACACUCUAUGACUACUGCAAUCUUUGGCACACGUAUUGGGCACUUAGGAAAUGAUGUGCGGAAGAAAUUGAAAGCUGCCUACACCUUGGUGGAACAAUUGUAUACCGGAGCCCAACGGAUCAUCGCCACAGCUU